GAGUUGUCAGUGAUCUCAAUGAUCUCCGUCGAGUACACAAUCUUCUUGUUUCUUCUCUGGACAAAGUUCAGGCCGGAAAAGGAUCUUCCAGCCAGCUAUACCGAGAGAGUGCCACGACCAUGGAAAAACUGGCUGUUCUCAAAGCUUGGGCAGAGGUGUAUGUGGUUGCUAUGAAUAUUAAAAAGGAAGCAGAGUCAAAACCAAAAAGAGCAAUUAAAAAUACUGACGAUGAUGAUGAUGACUAUGGUACCAUCGAUGAACUGCCACCAGAUAGUUUAAUAACACUGGUACAACCUGAACUACCAACACUCAGUCGCCUGUGGUUAGCAGCAUUAAAAGAUUAUGCACUCUUGACUUUACCAGCUGAAUUUUCUAGUCAGCUUCCUCCAGAUGGUGAGUAUUACAUUCUGAGUUUUACUUUUAUGGAGUUCAAAGUAGUAGUUAAACAAAAUAGAGACGGUAUAGACUGGCAACAACAGUUACUAUAGUAACAGUUUAAAUUUCUGUGGCUUAAGUUUGAUGUUGUCUCAGUUAGAAUAUGUACUCUAUAUUGAAUUUGUAGAUGGAAGAUGAGCUUUUUUGUUGGCUGAAGCAAACAUAUUAGCAAGCACUGUUACAAUAAUAGCUGUAUGAGCUAGGAUAUUCCAAAUAGCUAUGGAUAACAAGUCAUUAUGCAUAACCAUAGAUGUAUAUUGCUGUACUGUUCAAUGUGUGUAUUUUCAUAUUCUAUUUCAGAUUCCUAGUGUGCCAAUAAAUUAUGUUCCUCAAGUGCUUUGCAAAUUGUACUUUAGUUUUCUUAUCGAAAUCAGUGUAGAAAUCAUCAACAUUUUUUU
rnacentral:sRNA from 1 species